CCUCCGGGCAUUCCCCUAGUACGGCGAGUGACCGGGAAGAGCUCAAAUUUGAAAUCUGGCGUGCUCAGUGCGUCCGAGUUGUAAUCUAUAGAGUCGUUUUCCGUGCCGGACUGUGUCCAAGUCCCUUGGAACAGGGUAUCAAAGAGGGUGAUAAUCCCGUACUUGACACAAUGACCGGUGCUCUGUGAUACGUCUUCUACGAGUCGAGUUGUUUGGGAAUGCAGCUCAAAAUGGGUGGUGAGUUCCAUCUAAAGCUAAAUAUUGGCGAGAGACCGAUAGCGAACAAGUACCGUGAGGGAAAGAUGAAAAGCACUUUGGAAAGAGAGUUAAACAGUACGUGAAAUUGUUAAAAGGGAAACGAUUGAAGUCAGUCGUGACUGAGAGGCUCAGCCGGUUCUGCCGGUGUAUUCCCCUCAGUCGGGUCAACAUCAGUUUUGUUCGGUGGAUAAGGGCAGUUGGAAGGUGGCACCCUCGGGUGUGUUAUAGCCAGCUGUCGCAUACAUCGGAUGAGACUGAGGAAUGCAGCUCGCCUUUAUGGCCGGGGUUCGCCCACGUUCGAGCUUAGGAUGUUGACAUAAUGGCUUUAAACGACCCGUCUUGACC
rnacentral:rRNA from 1 species